rnacentral:rRNA from 1 species
CCUGAUGCAGCAACGCCGCGUGAGGAUGACGCUUCGGGUUGUAAACCUCUUUAGCAGGGAAGAAGCGAGAGUGACGGUACUGCAGAAAAAGCACGGGCUAACUACGUGCCAGCAGCCGCGGUAAUACGUAGGGUGCAAGCGUAUCCGGAAUUAUUGGGCGUAAAGAGCUCGUAGGCGGUUUGUCGCGUCUGCUGUGAAAUCUGGGGGCUCAACCCCCAGCCUGCAGUGGGUACGGGCAGACUAGAGUGCGGUAGGGGAGAUUGGAAUUCCUGGUGUAGCGGUGGAAUGCGCAGAUAUCAGGAGGAACACCGAUGGCGAAGGCAGAUCUCUGGGCCGUAACUGACGCUGAGGAGCGAAAGGGUGGGGAGCAAACAGGCUUAGAUACCCUGGUAGUCCACCCCGUAAACGUUGGGAACUAGUUGUGGGGUCCAUUCCACGGAUUCCGUGACGCAGCUAACGCAUUAAGUUCCCCGCCUGGGGAGUACGGCCGCAAGGCUAAAACUCAAAGGAAUUGACGGGGACCCGCACAAGCGGCGGAGCAUGCGGAUUAAUUCGAUGCAACGCGAAGAACCUUACCAAGGCUUGACAUAUACGAGAACGGGCCAGAAAUGGUCAACUCUUUGGACACUCGUAAACAGGUGGUGCAUGGUUGUCGUCAGCUCGUGUCGUGAGAUGUUGGGUUAAGUCCCGCAACGAGCGCAACCCUCGUUCUAUGUUGCCAGCACGUAAUGGUGGGAACUCAUGGGAUACUGCCGGGGUCAACUCGGAGGAAGGUGGGGAUGACGUCAAAUCAUCAUGCCCCUUAUGUCUUGGGCUUCACGCAUGCUACAAUGGCCGGUACAAAGGGCUGCAAUACCGUGAGGUGGAGCGAAUCCCAAAAAGCCGGUCCCAGUUCGGAUUGAGGUCUGCAACUCGACCUCAUGAAGUCGGAGUCGCUAGUAAUCGCAGAUCAGCAACGCUGCGGUGAAUACGUUCCCGGGUCUUGUACACACCGCCCGUCAAGUCAUGAAAGUCGGUAACACCUGAAGCCGGUAGC